CAGUCGCCGCGGUAAUACGAAGGGGGCUAGCGUUGCUCGGAAUGACUGGGCGUAAAGGGCGCGUAGGCGGCGAUCAAAGUCAGGCGUGAAAUUCCCGGGCUCAACCUGGGGGCUGCGUUUGAUACUUGGUUGCUUGAGUGGGGAAGAGGGUCGUGGAAUUCCCAGUGUAGAGGUGAAAUUCGUAGAUAUUCGGAAGAACACCAGUGGCGAAGGCGGCUCACUGGCUCAUACUGGACGCUGAGGUGCGAAAGCGUGGGGAGCAAACAGGAUUAGAUACCCCCGUAGUCCCUGUCUCUUAUAC
rnacentral:rRNA from 1 species